UACGGAGGGUGCAAGCGUUGUUCGGAAUCACUGGGCGUAAAGGGCGCGCAGGCGGCCUGAUCAGUCAGAUGUGAAAGCCCUCGGCUUAACUGUGGAAGUGCAUUUGAAACUGUCAGGCUUGAGUACCAGAGGGGAAAGUGGAAUUCCCGGUGUAGAGGUGAAAUUCGUAGAUAUCGGGAGGAAUACCGGUGGCGAAGGCGGCUUUCUGGCUGGAUACUGACGCUGAGGCGCGAAAGCGUGGGGAGCAAACAGG
rnacentral:rRNA from 1 species